GACGAACGCUGGCGGCGUGCCUAAUACAUGCAAGUCGAGCGAACGGAUGAGAAGCUUGCUUCUCUGAUGUUAGCGGCGGACGGGUGAGUAACACGUGGAUAACCUACCUAUAAGACUGGGAUAACUUCGGGAAACCGGAGCUAAUACCGGAUAAUAUUUUGAACCGCAUGGUUCAAAAGUGAAAGACGGUCUUGCUGUCACUUAUAGAUGGAUCCGCGCUGCAUUAGCUAGUUGGUAAGGUAACGGCUUACCAAGGCAACGAUGCAUAGCCGACCUGAGAGGGUGAUCGGCCACACUGGAACUGAGACACGGUCCAGACUCCUACGGGAGGCAGCAGUAGGGAAUCUUCCGCAAUGGGCGAAAGCCUGACGGAGCAACGCCGCGUGAGUGAUGAAGGUCUUCGGAUCGUAAAACUCUGUUAUUAGGGAAGAACAUAUGUGUAAGUAACUGUGCACAUCUUGACGGUACCUAAUCAGAAAGCCACGGCUAACUACGUG
rnacentral:rRNA from 1 species